AUGGAGCAGCUCAUCCUGGAGGCCAUCUCCAAGCAUGUGGAGGAAAAGAAGAUGAUCAGGAGUAGUCAGCAUGGCUUCCCCAAGGGGAAAGCAUGCUUAACCAAUCUGAUAGCCUUCUAUGAUGGAAUGACUGGCUGGGUAGAUGAGGGGAGAACAGUGGAUGUUGUCUACCUUGCCUUCAGCAAGGCUUUUGACACUGUCUCCCAUAACAUCCUCACAGACAAGCUCAGGAAGUGUGGGCUAGAUGAAUGGACAGUGAGGUGGAUUGAGAACUGGCUGAAUGGCAGAGCUCAGAGGGCUGUGAUCAGCGGCACAGAGACUAGUUGGAGGCCUGUAGCUAGCGGUAUCCCCCAGUGGUCAGUACUGGGUCCGGUCUUGUUCAAUUUAUUCAUCAGUGACCUAGAUGAAAGGACAGAGUGCACCCUCAGCAAGUUUACUGAUGCUACAAAACUGGGAGGAGUGGCUGAUAUCCCAGAAGGCUGUGCUGCCACUCAGAGAGACUUGGACAGGCUGGAGAGGUGGGCGGAGAGGAACCUCAUGAAGUUCAACAAAGGCAAGUGCAGGGUCCUGCACCCAGGGAGGAAUAACCCCAGGCACCAGGACAGGUUGAGGGUUGACCUGCUGGAAAGCAGCUCUGCCAAGAAGGACCUGGGAGUGCUGGUGGACACCAAGUUAAGCAUGAGGCAGCAAUGUGCCCUAGUGGCCAAGAAGGCCAAUGGUAUCCUGGGGUGCAUCAGGAAGAGUGUUGCCAGCAGGUCGAGGGAGGUGAUCCUCCCCUUCUACUCAGMCCUGGUGAGGCCACAUCUGGAGUACUGUGUCCAGUUCUGGGCUCCCCAGUACAAGAGGGAUGUGGCGCUACUGGAGCAAGUCCAGUGGAGGGCUACAAAGAUGAUUAGGGGACUGGAGCAUCUCUCUUGUGAGGAAAGGCUGAGAGAGUUGGGCCUGUUUAGCCUGGAGAAGAGAAGACUGAGAGGGGAUCUUAUCAAUGUGUACAAAUAUCUGAAGGGAGGGUGUCAAAAGGAUGGAGCCAGACUCUUUUCAGUGGUGCCCAGCAACAGGACGCGAGGCAACGGGCACAAACUGAAACACAGGAAGUUCCAUCUGAACUUGAGGAAAAACUUCUUCACUGUGAGGGUGACGGAGCACUGGACCAGGUUGCCCAGAGAUGCUGUGGAGUCUCCUUCUCUGGAGAUAUUCAAAACCCGUCUGGACGUGAUCCUGUGCAAAGUGCUCUAG
rnacentral:lncRNA from 1 species